UGCCACUCCUCAGUUGGGUAGAGCGUGGUGCUGAUAACGCCAAGGUCACAGGUUCAGUCCCUGAAUGGGACAGUGGCAU